UUACAUUGAAGAGUUUGAUUAUGGCUCAGAUUGAACGUGGGCGGCAGGCUUUACCCAUGCAAGUCGAACGGAAACAGAAAGCAGCU
rnacentral:rRNA from 1 species